AAUUAAAUGUUUUCUCGGUGGAACUGUGGCAGACACGUUAUCCGCAUGCAUAUGCAAACAAUUUACGAAGUUGGAUAUAAUUGAAAAUAAAUUUUCAAAUUAAGGUAAAAUCAUUAAAAUUAAUGGUUUUUGGAUAAAAUUGAAAAAAUUCUGUAGCAAAGGCUGCUUUUUUCCAUGUCAGAUUUUCAGGAAUGGGGUCUGUUCUCUCCUGAUUUAAUUGUUGAUGCUCUUUCUGCUGAUUUAAUGAAUUAAGUUUUGUUUUUUUUUUUUUUUGAAGAAAGUUGGCAAAAAUAAAUAAAAUUCGGAGAUAUAAAUGCUCGAUUUUCUAACUAUGAUUUUAAAGCUUACCUUACUUCAUUGGUCCAUUAAACUUGAAAUGGUAAUUUAGUUCCCUCCUAACCUCCCUUUGCUCACUCUCGUUUUCGCGCCCCUUUUCCCAAAUCGAAGUACUUAUCCAGUCUUUGAUCUCACAAUGCAUUGAAGCUCUUACAUAUUGUAUGCUGGUCUGACAGAUUAUAAAAUCGGUCAUAAUUAUCAUCCUCUCUGUACCCCAUUUGGUUCACAGAAGAAGAAGGAGAGGAGGAAGAAGAAGAAGAUGAGUUGGAAUUACCCAGAAAUAUCCUUACAGGAAUUGAUGAAACUAAUAAAAGGGUUUGUAGAUAUCAUAAUAUUAGCAUCUGGGUAUCAAUCCUCUGGUCUUUUAGCUCACUGGGAUCCCCACAAUAUCAAGAAAGCCUUCCAGUGGGCUUCCUUCUUUGAACAUGUGCUUGGGCAAAUGAGUAGCUCAGACGUUUACCAGGACUCGGUCAAGGAACUUGACGUAGCACUUGGUAAAAUGACAUCUAGUCCUUCCUUUCCUCAGGGUCUUGCAGAUAUAUCAUUUCGUACUCUUAACAGAGCCAGGAGUUUUGUUCUAGCACAUAUGUUCCAUACUUUGCCAUUGAGGGAUUCACAUCUCAGGGCUUUUCUAACUGCAAUAAUUGAGAUGGAUCUUGAAAACGUGUCAAGAUCGGAGCAUGAUUCCCUAAGUGAAUAUCUCAACAAGUUAAUUAUGCUCAAUACACAAUUUAACUUGGUUCCAGAAAGGAGGAUUCCUAUGAAAAAGAUACUUAUUAAAUUGGAAGGUGUUGAAGCUACGAAAAUAGGAAGCUUCAUUGAUGAUGACAUGACAAAGUUCACUGUUCAGGAGCUGCUCAGUAGGCAAUCUGCUGUGUUGUGCAUAUCAACACUUGGUAAAGGUUUAGAUAUCCUCUCUAAUUACAUCACAGCUAGCAAUUGGAUUGAUUUAGAUAGUAACAUGUCUGAAGAAGAACCAAAGCAUGGAAGAGCUCAAGCAUCAGUAGGGAGUGUAGAUCAACUGGCCGAUUUUAUUACAUGGAAUUGUUGGAAAUCAGUGAAUCUUUCAUAUUUUCUUCAGAAGAGAACUAUCAGAUUGGUUGCAGGUGCUAGCAUGAUAUUUUCCGGCCCUAAGCUUUCCUGGGUGCAAGUUUUUGAACAGAUGAAUGCUUCAGCAAAGUGCAAAGAGGAUAAUGAUUUGUGUGAAACAAUAGAACUCAUGCUCCUUGGAUGUAUUACAAGCAAAUGGAAUUGUCUAAUUGAAUAUUUCAUGUCAAUUUCCUAUCGCACCUUCACAAUCUCAAAACUAUAUCAGGAUGUCUGCAACUUGCUUCCAGGAAGAUCUCUAAGUUUUCAUUCCAAAGAAGAAUCAACAGAUUCAAAGGAAAGUGGCAUUCUUGAGUACUUGGCUGGUGUGCUGGAUGGACAGCUUCAUCAACUGUGGAACCUCUCUCCUGUCCUUUUAGCUAUUGCAAUCCCAUUCUGGUCACCUCUGUUUAGGCUGUAUCUAAGUGAAAUACAGACGCAAUUCAAGGGAGAUUCUUCAGUGAUGAGAUGCUGCAGUUGUAUCCAAGAAAGAAAGGAGCAUGAAGAUUGUCAACUAGCUGAGAGAAUCUGGUGUCUUCACAUCAUUCAUAUUUGUGGGUCUCGGGUAAUAUAUGGUGCUAAUAAUGCUUAAAAGUUAGCUCUACAAUCUUGGUCAUCGGUGAGAACCUCUUCUCUACAUAUCAUGCCAGGACAUUUCCAAAUGCUUCCCGGGAAAGUUCACCAACCAGGAGUAAAACAGAAGGAAAAUCAGAAACAUGAAGCACUAUCUACUUUAUGAAAAAGUGGCCAGAGUAAAAAGAUCCUAUCAUCAUCAUCAAUUUUUGACAUUAAAU